AGGACUACCCGCUGAACUUAAGCAUAUCAAUAAGCGGAGGAAAAGAAACUAACAAGGAUUCCCCUAGUAACUGCGAGUGAAGCGGGAAAAGCUCAAAUUUAAAAUCUGGUGGUCUUUGGCCAUCCGAAUUGUAAUCUAGAGAAGUGUUAUCCGCGCUGGACCGUGUACAAGUCUCCUGGAAUGGAGCGUCAUAGAGGGUGAGAAUCCCGUCUUUGACACGGACUACCAGGGCUUUGUGAUACACUCUCAACGAGUCGAGUUGUUUGGGAAUGCAGCUCAAAAUGGGUGGUAAAUUCCAUCUAAAGCUAAAUAUUGGCGAGAGACCGAUAGCGAACAAGUACCGUGAGGGAAAGAUGAAAAGAACUUUGGAAAGAGAGUUAAACAGUACGUGAAAUUGUUGAAAGGGAAACGCUUGAAGUCAGUCGCGUCUUUCAGAAAUCAACCUUACUUUUGUAUGGUGUACUUUCUGAUAGAUGGGUCAGCAUCAGUUUUGGUUGCUGGAUAAAGGUUAGAGAAAUGUGGCAUCUUCGGGUGUGUUAUAGUCUCUAAUCAUAUACAGUGGCUGGGACUGAGGAACUCAGCACGCCGUAAGGCCGGGGCUUUUGCUCACGUUCGUGCUUAGGAUGCUGGCAAAAUGGCUUUAAUCGACCCGUCUUGAAACACGGACCAAGGAGUCUAACAUGCCUGCGAGUAUUUGGGUGGUAAACCCGGAUGCGUAAUGAAAGUGAAAGUUGGGAUCUCUGUCGUGGAGAGCACCGAUGCCCAUACCAGAAAUUUAUGGACGGUUAUGCGGUUGAGCAUGUAUGUUGGGACCCGAAAGAUGGUGAACUAUGCCUGAAUAGGGCGAAGCCAGAGGAAACUCUGGUGGAGGCUCGUAGCGAUUCUGACGUGCAAAUCCGAUCGUCGAAUUCCCGGGUAUAGGGGCGGAAAGGAGCUUNCCCCCCGUUCCCGGU
rnacentral:rRNA from 1 species